ACAUUUGUAAGAAAGUUUUGCGAUUAAGACCUGGAGAAAAGUUAAAAGUCACUUUCUAUCAAAAUCAUGUCGUUGGGCCGAAUGACACCUCAUUUACAAGACACUUGGGUUUGCUAGUUCGUGAUCGUAAUAUGUGCCCAUUGCGGGUACACUCAUGGAUGGAUAUCGAAGAGCACAAGCUUGAGCAUAUGUGGUCAACUGUUACAGAAAAGUUUGACUGUGAUAACAUGAAUGAUCAAAGAGAUAAUGUUUUGCAACAUAUGAGAAAGCUUUGGAACAAUUGGAGAGGAUCGCUG